rnacentral:ncRNA from 1 species
GAAUCUGCCCUUCAAUGAAGGAUACCCUCGAGAAAUCGAGGUUAAUACUGCAUACGUCCCUUCGGGGAGAAAGAUGGCUUAUUUAGCUGUCGUUGAAGGAUGAGCUUGCGGCCUAUCAGUUUGUUGGUGGGGUAAUGGCCCACCAAGACUAUGACGGGUAGCCGGCCUGAGAAGGGUGAUCGGCCAGAUUGGAACUGAGACACGGUCCAGACUCCUACGGGAGGCAGCAGUGAGGAAUCUUGCGCAAUGGGCGAAAGCCUGACGCAGCGACGCCGCGUGGAGGAUGACGCUCAGUGGAACGAAAACUCACGUUAAGGGAUUUUGGUCAUGAGACAAUAACCCUGAUAAAUGCUUCAAUAAUAUUGAAAAAGGAAGAGUAUGAGUAUU